rnacentral:sRNA from 1 species
GUGAACGUUACCAAACUGUUGCCUCGGCGGGAUCUCUGCCCCGGGUGCGUCGCAGCCCCGGACCAAGGCGCCCGCCGGAGGACCAACCAAAACUCUUAUUGUAUACCCCCUCGCGGGUUUUUUUAUAAUCUGAGCCUUCUCGGCGCCUCUCGUAGGCGUUUCGAAAAUGAAUCAAAACUUUCAACAACGGAUCUCUUGGUUCUGGCAUCGAUGAAGAACGCAGCGAAAUGCGAUAAGUAAUGUGAAUUGCAGAAUUCAGUGAAUCAUCGAAUCUUUGAACGCACAUUGCGCCCGCCAGUAUUCUGGCGGGCAUGCCUGUCCGAGCGUCAUUUCAACCCUCGAACCCCUCCGGGGGGUCGGCGUUGGGGAUCGGCCCUGCCUUGGCGGUGGCCGUCUCCGAAAUACAGUGGCGGUCUCGCCGCAGCCUCUCCUGCGCAGUAGUUUGCACACUCGCAUCGGGAGCGCGGCGCGUCCACAGCCGUUAAACACCCAACUUCUGAAAUGUUGACCUCGGAUCAGGUAGGAAUACCCGCUGAACUUAAGCAUAUCAAUAAGCGGAGGAAAAGAAACCAACAGGGAUUGCCCCAGUAACGGCGAGUGAAGCGGCAACAGCUCAAAUUUGAAAUCUGGUCCCUAGGGCCCGAGUUGUAAUUUGUAGAGGAUGCUUUUGGUGAGGUGCCGCCCGAGUUCCCUGGAACGGGACGCCACAGAGGGUGAGAGCCCCGUCUGGCUGGCCGCCGAGCCUCUGUAAAGCUCCUUCGACGAGUCGAGUAGUUUGGGAAUGCUGCUCAAAAUGGGAGGUAUAUGUCUUCUAAAGCUAAAUAUUGGCCAGAGACCGAUAGCGCACAAGUAGAGUGAUCGAAAGAUGAAAAGCACCUUGAAAAGAGGGUUAAAUAGUACGUGAAAUUGUUGAAAGGGAAGCGCUUGUGACCAGACUUGGGCGCGGCGGAUCAUCCGGGGUUCUCUCCGGUGCACUUCGCCGCGUCUAGGCCAGCAUCAGUUCGUCGCGGGGGGAAAAAGGUUUCGGGAACGUGGUCCUCCCGGGAGUGUUAUAGCCCGUUGCUAAUACCCUGCGGGGAAUGAGGACCGCAUUUGCAGAG